UUUUGUAUUUUUUUUUUGUUCUAAGGGCGACUAGUGUCUUGUCGGCCGUGUAACCCAUCGCCCGUACCGAAUGAAUACAUCGGCCGAUUUGGACGACUACGUGUUCGAACCGAUUUGUAUCGGCUAUGUGUGAUUGCAUCACAGUUAAUCUCUUAUGCUCCGACCCAUAUACUAGGAUAAUAUCUUUUUAAAUACCUUCCGUUCAAAGCUCUAGUAAAUUCUUCCCCCUCUAUUGUUUCCAAGAUGUAAGCAUUCCCUAGAGCACAUCUGCCGAUUUUAUACGGCCCUUCCCAUGUAGGGGACCAUUUUCCGAAUUUAGGAUCUUUCGACCCAAUCGGCAAUACUAACUUCCAUACUAAAUCCCUAGGGGAGAAUUGUUUGACUUUGACCUUCUUAUCGUACCACCUGGCUACUUUCUUUUUGUUUUCUUCGAUGCUUAUCAGAGCUCUCAAUCGUUGGCCAGCCAAAUCAUCAAGUUCCCUUUUCAUCAGUGAUGAGUAGUCAUCGGCCGUCAACUGGUCCUAGAGCGAAAUACGCCUCGAUCCCGCCCUCGAUUCCCAUGGUAGUACUGCAUCGUGACCGUACACCAAUUGAUAGGGAGAUAACUUGGUAGCCCCAUGACAAGCCAUCCUGUACGCCCAUAGGGCCUCAGUCAAACAUAGAUGCCACUUCUUUGGCUGUUCCUCGAUUUUUCUUUUGAUUAACUUGAUUAUCCCUUUGUUGGAGGACUCGGCCUGACCAUUGGCUUGGGCGUAAUACGGAGAAGAAUUCAACAAUUUGAUCCCCAUAUCGGUUGUAAAUUCCUCGAAUUCCCCCGAUGUGAACAUUGUCCCUUGAUCGGUCGUAAUAGUCUGAGGAAUGCCGAAUCGGUAGACGAUGUGAUCCCUUAUGAAGUCGGCCAUGAUAGCCGAUGUCACGGCUCUUAACGGAAUUGCCUCCACCCAUUUAGUAAAGUAAUCGGUAGCUACCAGAAUAAACUUAUGCCCUUUACUUGAUGGAGGGUAAAUUUGGCCGAUAAGGUCUAUUCCCCAUCCCCUGAAUGGCCAUGGCUUGAUGAUAGGAUUCAUUGCCGAUGCAGGUGCACGUUGGACAUUUCCGAACUUUUGACAAUCCUGACAUCCCUUAUAAUAUUUGAAACAGUCUUCGGGGAUCGUUGGCCAGUAGUACCCAUUAUUCCUGAUCAUCCAUUUCAUCUUAUGGGCUGAUUGGUGUGCCCCACAUACCCCUUCAUGGAUUUCUCCCAUUAGAGUCUUGGCCUCCUCUGUCUCAAGGCAUUUGAGAAGAACCCCGUCGAUCGUUCGGUAGAACAGGUCGUCUUCGAGCAGUACGUAUUUAGUAGCAUGAAAACGUACUCGUCGUUCCACCUUUUUAGACGGAUCCUUCAGGUAGUCGGCAAUUUCUUUACGCCAGUCGUCGGCCGUGAGUUCUAGAGCCAUAGCGCCUAGAAUUGGCCGAUAUCCAGAUGCGUGCUGGGCGAGUUUGUUGGCAUCUUCGUUGCGGUCCCUUGGGAUGUGCUCGAUUACUGCCGAUCUAAAUUCUUUUAAGAGCUGUAAGCAAUCUUCGUAAUAAAUUCUUAAUACGUCGUCUUUGCAUUCGGACCUUCCGGUCAGUUGAUCUACAAUAAGCAUGGAGUCUCCGAAGAUUUCAACAGAGUCGGCCUUGACUUCCCUUAAUAGUUGUAGGCCCUUCAAUACAGCUCGGUACUCCGCUUGAUUGUUAGUAGCGGCGGUUUCUAUCGGCAGAGAAAAAUCAUAGCUUGCCCCCCGAGGCGAUAUGAGAACGAUGCCGAUUCCUGAUCCGACCCCACAUGAUGACCCAUCGAAAUAUAAUGUCCAAGGUGCCGGCUCCACGAGGGCGACCCCCGGUCCGCAGUGCUGGGCGACGAAAUCGGCCAUAACCUGACCCUUGACGGCUUUUGCCGAUUCAUACCGUAGGUCGAACUCUGACAAAGCUAAGAUCCAUUUGCCGAUUCGGCCUUUCAAGAUCGGCAGUGAUAGCAUAUAUUUUUAUACGUCGUCUUUGCAUACGACCACGCACUCUGCCGACAGUAGAUAGUGCCUGAGUUUGAUGCAUGAGAAGUAAAGACAUAGGCACAAACGCUCCACCGGAGGAUAUCUUGUUUCAGCGUCCAGAAGUCUCCUACUGACAUAAUAAAUUACCCGUUCCUUGCCUUCGAACUCCUGGACUAGAGCCGACCGAAUAGCUUUUUCAUCGGCUGAUAAGUAUAGUUUAAACGGCUUACCAGUUUGAGGAGGAACCAAUACUGGUGGCGAGACCAAGUAUUGCUUGAUAUCUUCCAAUGCUUUGCGCUGCUCCUCCCCCCAUAUGAAUUCCUGGUCAGGCUUUAGCUUCAACAAUGGUGUGAACGCCUGAAUCCGCCCAGAUAGAUUAGAUAUGAAUCUUUUGAUGAAAUUCACCUUGCCGAUUAAAGACUGCAACUCGGUUUUGUUUUGCGGGGCUAUGACUUUGUUGAUGGCCGCUAUGGUUUUCCGAUUGAUCUCUAUUCCUCGUUCGUGCACCAUGAAUCCUAAGAACUGUCCGGCGGAUACGCCGAAAGCACAUUUAUUGGGAUUCAUCUUAAGACCGUGCUUUUUGGUACAUUCUAGCACUCUUCGUAAAUCGGCCAGAUGCUCUUCGUGACCUUUGGACUUGACUACGACAUCAUCGAUGUAGAUCUCUACUAGAAUGCCAAUAAGUUUGUGAAAUAUGUAAUUCAUGGCUCUCUGAUAUGUAGCGCCAUUGUUCUUCAAGCCAAAAGUCAUCACCACCCACUCGAACAAGCCAAGGUGGCCUGGGCAUCUGAAGGCCGUUUUGGGUAUGUCCUCUUCGGCCAUAAGUAUUUGAUUGUACCCAGCGUUUCCGUCCAUGAAGCUAAUAACUUUGUGUCCCGCAGCAGCGUCGAUCAGUACAUCGGCCGUCGGCAUGGGGUAACCAUCCAUCAGCGUGGCCUGAUUAAGAUUCCUGAAAUCAACGCAAACGCGUAGCUUUCCAUUUUUCUUGUAUACUGGUACGAUGUUGGAAAUCCACUCGGCAUAACGACAUAGCCGAAUAAAUUUCGCUUCAAUUAGCCGAGUUAUUUCAGCUUUUAUGUCUGGUAGAAUCUUAGGAUUGCAGCGCCGUGCGGGUUGUUGGUACGGCCGAUACCCUGGUUUUAUGGGUAGCCGAUGUUCAACAAUAGAUCGGUUUAAACCGGGCAUCUCGUGAUACUCCCAAGCAAAACAAUCCUUAAAUUCCUUUAACAAAUUUGUCAAUUUACACUUGUAUUCUGGGUCUAAAUUUGCACUAAUAUAAGUCGGCCUUGGUUUGGUGCCAUCACCUAAGUCUAUCAUUUCUAAUGAAUCAGCCGACGUAAACCCGUGCCCUAGCUUUCCAUCUUCUCGGGCGAACUGAUCCAUCUACUCUGAGUCUUCGGAGCCGACUGCUCGGAUCGGCUGCAGGCCAAAAUCGGUGACCUUCAGGAAAUCGGUCUCCCAUACUUUGCCGGAUAUGCACCUGACGAUUUCGCAGCUCCACUGCUGCGUGUCGGCUGUCGCUAUGCUGUACGCGGAAUUGGCGUUGACCACCUCGAUGUUGUCGCCGACCCAUUGCACAAGGCAUUGAUGCAUUGUUGACGGGAUGCAGCAGUUUGCGUGUAUCCAGUCUCGGCCGAGUAGCAUGUUGUAGGACCCCUUGCCAUUAAUAACAAAGAAGGUGGUAGGAAGGGUCUUACUGCCGAUGGUGAGGUCGACGCAGAGAGCGCCGCGAGCGUUUGACACGUUGCCUUCGAAGUCCUUGAGCAUCAUGUCUGUCUUGGUCAAGUCGUCGUCGCUUUUCCCAAGCUUUCGGAGCACGGCGUACGGCAUGAUGUUGACAGCAGCUCCUCCGUCUACCAUUAGUCUAGUAAGGGGGCGGCCGUCAACAUGCCCUUUAAGGAACAGUGCCUUCAUGUGUUGCCGUUCGUCAUCUUCGGGCUUCUCGAACGUGGCCAUCAUUGGCUCCAAAGCCAACUGUGCUGUCUGUUCUUCUAUUGCCGAUACAUUCUGUUGAUCGGCGGGAGUCAUGAAUUCCAUCGGCAGUAUGAAAACCAUGCCGAUCUCGGCUGCCGAUUCGUCACCCGCCGAUUCGUCGUCCCCUUUAUCGCUUCUUUUGGGGCGCCACACCCGAGGCCUUCCUUCCUUCUUGUCUGGCGUGCUCUGUUGUUCCUCUUCUUGCUGUUCCCAUUGGCGGAGAUGCUGGAUUCUUCGUUUUUGAGACUUAGUCAAUCCAUCGGGACACCACCUGGGGUUUAUUGGUCUGCCCCCUGACAUGGCGCGUUCCCACUCCGGUUCGCGUCCUGACGGGUUUUCAUCUGUUACCCGAGCAUCGGCCAUCUCUUCAAGCCGCUGUGAACGUUGGCUUUGUUUUCUGACCGGUCGUGCCGAUCAGUCCUGCCCCCUGCCUAUCAUGGCGUCUAUCUUCCGACCGAUCAUAUCGGUCACUUCUGCCCCCCAGCCGAUCACGCACGGGAGGGCGCUGGUCUUCUUGGUCGCGCCAAUUCCUGCUGAUCGGUUCUGGCCUUCCGUCUCUGGAGCGAGACCUGUUGAACGGCCGAUUGCUACGAUAUGGACCGUUGCAUUCUGGGCAAGUAUCGGCCGAAGGUAGCCUGAGGUUGUUUUCCCAACAGUGAAUGAAGAACGGGCACCUCCAGUGCUCUUCGUGCCGUCGCAUUGCAACUUCCCGGGACCUUGAGCGUUCAUGCUGACGUUGGUACUUCUGGAGCAGGAACUGGGAAGUAAUGCGUGGCUCUCUUGAUUCGUCGUCGUCCUCCUCCAUCCGCCGCUUCCCCUUGACAUCUUCAGGCGUAGCUUGAUUUCUGGGGUCGACGGCGCCACUCUUUUUGGCCGAUUCGGACGUCAGCACUUUUGUUUGGAGUGAAUUCUUCCCCGUAUCAGCCAUGUUGGUGGGGAAGGGGUAUUGAUCAAUCUUCAUUGGUUUGGCCGAUUUUGCUGGCACUUCAAAUUUAAGUCUGCCUUGCUCAAUGGCCGACUGUAUCUGCUGCCUGAAGAUCUUGCACUCAUUGGUAUCAUGGGAUGUGGCAUUGUGCCACUUGCAAUACUUCAUCUUUUUUAGUUGUUUGGCAGAAGGUAUUGUAUGGUACGGUGAGAGUUUAAUCUGCCCUUCCUGGAGGAGAAGGUCGAAGAUUUUAUCGGCCUUAGUCGUGUCAAAGCCGAACACCUUCGGCUCCUUUUUGCCAAAUGGGCAUGAUAUCGGCUUCUUCCCCUUGAUCCACUCCGCAAGUCCGACUUCAACAUCUUCCUCAUCCUCUAACUCUUCCAGGAACGCCACUUUCUUCUGGAAAUUCCUCCGUGGAUCGAAAGAACGUACCUCCUGUCCAGAAUAUCGGUGGACAAUCUGGCUCAAACUCUCGAACUCCUGUGACACGUAUUUUUCUUUGAUGUGGGGCAGAAGGCCUUGAAAAGCUAUGUCGGCCAACUGCGCGUCGGUUAGAGCCAGGGAGUAGCACUUGUUUCUGAUUUCCCGAAACCUCUGUAUAUACGAGGAUAUCGGCUCGUCACUUCUUUGCCUGAGGCUGGUCAAAUCGGACAGCUUCAUCUCAUGCACCCCGGCGUAGAAGUAUUUGUGGAAUUGUCUUUCUAAAUCGGCCCAUGUGACAAUCGAGUUUGGCGGCAAUGUCGUGAACCAUUGAAAGGCCGAACCAGACAGAGAUGAUGAGAACAACCGUACCCGUAAGGCAUCCUGCGUAGCUGCCUCUCCGCACUGGAUGAUGAAUCUAUUCACGUGCUCUACGGUCGAAGUAUCAUCCAUCCCCGAAAAUUUAGUGAAAUCAGGAACUUUAUACCGAUGGGGAAACGGCAAUAGGUCAUAUGUAGACGGGUAUGGUGUUCUGUAGGUAUAAGUUUGUACUUUCGGCUUCAAGCCGAAUUGUUCUUGCAUCACCUCCGCAAUACGUGCCGACCAAUCUGGCUGUUGCUGGUGAACCGUUGGCUGAGGAAUUGGCACGUGCUGGUAAAUUGGAGGCUGAAUAAACGGAGGCUGAUUGAAAGAUGGAAUCUGAGUGAAAGCCGGCUGUGUAGUAAAGGUCGGCUGUUUGAAUGAGCCACUCGUUUCAUCAUAUAGCAUGAAUUCUGCCGUCUUGUUGACCUCCGGAGCGACAGGCUGGUAUGGCGGUAUGGUUGGCCGAAUGGCCGCCUGGAAGGACGCCUGGAAGGGAGGGUUUCCUUGAUUGGCCGAUUGAUUCUGGCCGGCCGUGACUGAAGGUGCCCCCCAGGGUGAUGGGCUAACUGGAGGGAAUGGUGCAGAGGACAGUUGGAUGGAGUUAUACCCCAUAGGAGCUGAUGAUGAGGAAGCCCCUGAACCUCCGACAGAAAAUUGGAUCGGCUGUGAAACCGAAUUUGAAUAAUUCUGAUUUGGUGGAAUCGGCUGAAAAUAUGCCGGUCCCCUGUAUCCUUGAGGUAUCCCACCAGCGAAGGAAUUGACAACGGCGUUGUGCACCAUAUUUGAAAGUACUGGGGACUGAUCAACGAAGGCAUGAUAAAUGGACUGUUGGAUCAUAUCGGACAUUUUGUCCGAAUCCUCAGAAAUCGUGAUCUGGCGGGGAGCAGGGAACGGAGUCUUCUUGAUAGUCUCCCCACUUCUGGAGUGACUGAAAGACUGUAGGCAAGCUUUCCGGAACUGGGCCGUAUACUUAUCCAGUUCUUCCUUCUGGUCGUCCUUCAGAUCUGCUUCCGUCACCUCGAUGACGUUUUCUUCGGAGACUUCAGCAGCUUUCGACAUGAUGGCGGUUGUAUUGGUCCCACCGAGCGUGCCAAAAGUGUGUUGGCGCUAGAAAUCGGUCAACCGAAUCCCAGCGUCCGACACACGACCCGGGAGAAUCUGCUUAGCUCCUGUUCGGGUGAUUGCCCUGGUGCGGUUCGCGCGGCGUGCCAGCCAAUCUGACCUGUUGAUUGGCAAGGAAGAGUACGUGUCAGGUUCAGAAAUCACGAUCGGCUAAGUUUCCGAUCUCGCGAGAGCUUAUCGGCGAAUCGGCCGAUUUGCCUUAAUAAAGGAAUCGGCUAUAAAACAGCCGAUCACUGUAGCCUUGUAGACAGAAAACUACCAGAGUAAUCGAUACAAAGCUUAUGAUAACAACACUAGGAAUAGAUCUAAUCGGCAGUAGACGAAUUAAAUAGCAGAACGUAAAGAAAGCCAACACUACCGAUUCCUAGCUGGAUAACGGGUAAUAAAACUAGAAAAACAAGAAGAACCCUAUGAUUCUAGUAAGUAUCGAUAACUGGUGAAUAAAUCUAAACGAAACAACAGCGAUACGCCCGAAGUUAAAGCUUAGAUAUUACUCGAUAAGCGGAACUUACAGAAUCGGCCGGAGAUCAAGCUGAUGCAGCCCUGCCAAUCCGCACGAACUCGUGAAAAAGAGAAAGGUGUUGGCGAAGUCGUCUGCUUGAAAGUAAGUACGAGGAAAAAAGUAGUAUGUUGUAUUGAUUGGUUGAUGAUUACAGAUUUACAAAGGUAGCUAUUUAUAGCCCCGUACAGAUAACUUCUUAACCGACUAGAAUUCUAUCCCUAAUUCAAACAGAAAACGAAUAUCUACAAGCACGAUUCGUGCUAGGUUGGUUACUCCACGCUUCGUGGGCUGAUUUCCACCUCAUCCUUCUAUUCCUUUCCAAGCCCAUACAGGCCCAAUUAACCCAUCCUCCUAAUCGGCCGAUUCCUCAUCGGCAAAAGGCUACCGAUUGGGACUCUGGUAUAUUCGACCUGAAGCGAGACAGAAGUCACCGGCCGAUCUCACACUGUAGCACCAUUUGACCGAUUCCCAACUGUGUUUCUCCGAUUCCCUCUCUUCUUGGCGCCGAUUCUUCUAGUGAUGAAAUCUGGCGUCAACAGCAUCUAUGCAAUAUGUAAGAUGCUUGUGUGUGCAUCAGAGUACACUUGAAAAUUGAUACUUCAAUAUUUACAAGGUGAAGUUUAUCAGAUACAGAUAGCAAUAUAGCAUACCUCACUUGAAGGAACUUUUAAGCGUUCACGCAACGCCGGAUUUUCCAAUUUCUGAAGUAAGACACCCAAGCAAGGAAACCCUACAUGUUGUUUGAAAAUAUUGAGCAUAGCUUCAACAGACUACAGUUACGUGCCUCACAAAAAACAUAGUGUUACAAACUUACAAUACAGAUUUACUAAGUAAUGCAUACUCAAUAUAGUGUCACUUGAUGAAUUAUCAGUUUUUAUACAAAUGAAACACAAUACAUUUUUCAUCAUAUACCAAUACUGUUCUCCAUCUGGCAACACAGGCACCACAAUCAACAGGUGCUAAAGUGCUUAUCAAAAAAUUCAGGCACCACAACCGUUUGACAAUUGCAUGUAUGCUGACAAUGGAUAGGUUCUAACCCCCGACCAAGAAUGCCCCAGAUGCACAACAAACCCCCGGCGAUCAUUCCAACGAUGGAAACCCAUCAGACUCUGGUACUGUAGAUCGCCCGACAAGAUGAAGGAAACUAACCUGGCGGUGUGACUCCAACGACGGCGCGAUUUCGGCGGGAUGCCGUCGUUCUCCCCAGCAAAGCCAAAGGACAGGCAAGCUCGGAGUAGAUUAGGGUUUCGCCGCUCCAACCUAUGACGAAUCAAAAGGUGUCAUAAACACAUUUUUGCAUCAUAAGCCGUGAUUUAUUACACGGGAGUGAUGAAAACCUUCGUCAUUAGUCGAGCGUCAUAAACCACGACUAGUGAUGUUCCUUAUUUUGCUACGUCACUAAGAUUAUGACGCCUACAAAUCGUCAAACAGAAACGUCAUAAAUUGCUACCUACUAUUUUGCCACGAUUGACAGAAUCUGAUGUGACAUCCGAUGUGGCAUGACAAUUGUGACAAAUUGUAUCGUCAUAAAAUGAAUUUGACCCAUUUGUUAUUGGGUCGAGCCCAAACAUAUUCCCACAUGUCUUCAGAUAGCCUAAAAUUGAUUCCGGUAAGCCUAUUUGUUAUUGGGUCGAGCCCAAAUCUGUUCCCACAGGCCAAUGUUGUUCACAUAGUACAAAAUUGAUUCCGAUAGGCCUUUUUUUGUCGAGCCCAAAAGUUGUGUAAAUUAUUUGCGGCCCUUUUAGUCCUAAUUUAUGAAUAAAAUUUGGCCCAAUUAUAUGGGGGCUAAGCCCACUUAAGGCAAAUAUAAAUUUAACCAAUUGGGCCUAACAAGUAAUUGAUUUCAUUCCAAUUCCAAUCCAGUUGGUAAAAUAAUAAACAGAACACACAUAUAAUUAUUGUUCCCCAUCGAGACAACCACUACCAUAUUGUUCAUCACAUAUCACAAACUAUUAUAAGAUAACUGUCUCACAAAGAACAGAGAUUAACAUAGCUGCAUCCAGGUCAUAAUCUCAAGAGACAAAGUAGAGCAUUGAUCUUAACCUCUUGUACAGGAUAGCACGAAGGAGUGCUUCACUAUCUUGUGUUACCUUCUUCAAUUUCUCAAUCUCGGCUGACUGCAAUUUGAGAGUUGAUUCUGAUUCUUCUAUCUUCUUCAUUUCAAGGUAGCUAACUCUUCCUUGUGAGCAACAAACUGUUGUCGAAGUUGUAUCCCAUCCUGUUUGUUGGCGUCAACUUGCUCCUCAUCAAAACUGCCGCAUAAGGAUUUAGUAGAGCUUCUUGAGUACUCUGCUGCCACAUCACGUUCUUGUUUUGCAAGAAGCACCAUUGAUUUGAGAACUUCCAUCUAGCAACAGUGGAUACGACGCUAGAUUGUGAUCUUGUAAGUGAUUAAAACUAAAGAAAGAAGAACGUCAAUAAUCAUCAUGUGUUUAGUUUGUUACCCUGGAGCUAGACUGAAAAGAAGCGACUACGGAUGUUGACCCUCUAGCCAGCUGAAACAGGAUACAAUCAAACUUCAAUUGAUACAUUUGUUUAAGUAUAAAUUAAGAGUGGACAAAUGAACAAGCACAAGAACAUGUGGCAAAGGUUGAGAUCAUUCGCAAACUAAAGCAAUUUCAUCUAUUAAUUUCUACAAAUCACAUAAACAAUUUGACCUGGCACAAAAAUAUCUAUUGGAAAGGUGAAAGAUAAAGAGGAUUUGCUGGAGCAGUAAUUUUUCACCAACUCUACCAAUAGGGUACAACAGGUCCACAUUCCCCAAUCUAACUACAAUAGUGAAAGCCAAAGAUCAUGGGGAAGCAAUCUAAUAAUUUCAUCUAUUAAGUUCUACAAACCCCAUAAAUAAUUUGACUUGGCACAAAAAUAAUUAUUUGAAAAGGUGAAAGAUAAAGGGGAUUUGGUGGAGCAGUAAUUUUUCACCAACUCUCGCAAUACGGUACAGCAGAUCCACAUUCUCCAAAGCAUGCAACUACAAUAUUGAAAGCCAAAGAUCAUGGGGAAGCAAUCUAAUAAUUGAAUUUAGCAAUACGGGGAGGAGACCACUGACCUGACGAACAUGAAGAGAAGGAAGUGCUGAAUGCCGCCUCAAUGGAGCAGCCCAGGCAUGCGCCGCUUCCUCGGUCUUCUUCGCACGUACUUGAGCACAGCAGUCGCCAGUGGCAGCCUUGGGGAAGCCGAUGGAGUGAUGGCUUCGAACCAUCUCGCAGCUUCAAGCCCAUUGCCGAGGAAGCCCACCGCUCAUAGCUGAGGUAGCUCGCCGCUAGUCAAGCUUGAUGGUGCUGCCGAGGUCACGCUUGCUAUCGCCGCUGCAGAUCUACUAUGGCUAUUCGGUGGGAAGAAGAGAGAGGACUAAUUUUGGAAUUACCAGGCGGGAUGUGGGAAGCUUGGCUCCCCUCUUUUAUUUAUAUAUAAUGGGGGAGGACCCAAAGGAUGUGUAGGGAAUUCAAAAUUUCAGAUCCCACCUUUGUGUUCGGUAGCGGGAGACGAAAUUCUUUGGAAACUGCCACGAGACCUGAGUCACUGACACGUUGGACUGCUUGGCACUCGGACCCAAGCCUUAGUGACCUUACAUAGACGAGCGGUUCUAGAAGGGAGUUUGGGACAGUCCGUGGCAUCAUGGCAUUGAUAAGCACUUCAAGGAUUAUCCUCCUUUGUAGAAUCAUGUCUGCAGGAUGAUCCGACUAUUGCAUUACAAAUGCACUUCAAUGCAAAAAAUUAAUGUACCGUUUCGAAUAUUACAUGAUAAAAUACACUUAAAUAAUACAUUAAAACUACAGCGGACUCUGGCAGCUGCAUCCUAAUAUCUACUCGAUGUUCUUUAAAGCAAGCACAUGGAUCCUCUUGAUAACUUCAGGAUGGUGGUAACACACGAACACAAAAUCCUCUAUGAGACUUCCGUCUAGCGAGAUUAGCGCUAUGAGAGACAUGCACUUCUCCUGCAAUUGGGUGCAGUUAGUCUCAAAUGCCCAUCGUAGAAAUGUGGUCACAGUUUUCUCACAAGCCAUGUCCCAUAUCUUUGACGCACAGUGCAACUUUAACUGUUUGACGCAGUACAUGUCAACGAGUGAGGGUAACACAUGCCAUGCGUUGAUAGGGGUGUCCCAUAAAUUAGCCUCCUCUGGGAGUGAUCCUUCGUAGGCGUAUUUGAUCAGCAGCGAGAAGCCAGUAGGGUUAGUGUCUUUAAUUGAAACAGUUUCUGACUUUGACUCCACUCCGCUGCCAUAGAGCAAUGCCUCCAUCACACGAGAUACCGCCACAUCGGCCCGUCUUGCUCAAAUCACUCAGCCGUCUAUGUCGAAGACGACGUCCAUAGGGGCUUGGGCUGCAAUUGUUGUGCAUAUGCUUCUGCCUACAGAUGGAGGUAGAACUUCAAUGCAGUCGUCCUCUAGUACUAUAACAAUGUAGGAUAUGUUUACGCAACCGGAAUGGUCCCACACACGUUCAAUCUCAUGAUGCCCCACGAGGCAGUUAAUGCCAUGUUCAAGAUUCCCAUUCCUGAAUUCAAGUUUCUUUAAAUCUUGAACUCAAAAUGUAUCAUCAUAAUCUAUUGCGUCUCUAGCCACCGCACGGAACAAGACUCGUACCUACGUGCAAGCAUUCACAGGGUUAACCAUUGGAGCGUAUAUGUGAGCAUGUGUAUUCAUAGCAAUGAGACACCUACCUUUUGCGCGCUAUUCAUCAAAACGAGGAUGACGGAAAUUCCUUCUAGUUCUGCUGGUGGCUACCACGGAUCAUGAAUACCUGUAGGGUAGCAACAUAUCCUCCAUUGACGGCCUCCGAUCAUGAAUGUACUAGAUUCCUUGUUCUGCCCAAUAGUUCUUUCUGCUUUUGCGUAUUCUUCCUUCCACUUCCUUGCAUCGUAAUUAUUGUAAGAGUUUUCCAUUGUUAGCUCCUUCAUCAACAUAUCGUUUCUCAUUUUCUUCCUCGUGUUCAUCACAAAAUUGGUUGCCUCCCCAAAAUAUCGCUUCAUCAAAUGCAGCUCAUGGGUUGUGUCAUUGACCUCCUUCUUAGCAAUUAUCCAUGCUUCUUCCCACGACCUUGCUUCUUCUUCAACUUUUUCCUUCCUCUUCAUCAGCUUCACCAGAACACCUUUAGUCCUAGCAUCCCAUUCAGGUUCAACCCACCUAAACGACGCACAUUUCAUCCCUUCAUUCUGCAGACACCAAUUACGUUCAUACAAUUCACCAUUUACAACACUAACAUCAAAAGUAGAAGCAAGGUUUAUUAGAAUUGAAAUAAGUUAUCGUUUACCUCGCAGCAGCAUGCAUACCGACGCCCAAAGUUGUCAAAUAUCCAAUCAUACCUCUCAUAGAAAGGCAACCCAUGCUUGCACUUAUUUUCAGGAUCCACAAUGAUAACAUCACGAUCAGGCGACGGCAAGUUGUAGCUAUCAGUGACUCCAAGCACCUGUGGAAGCUAAUAAAAUACAUGAACCUACCAAAUUAUAAAGUACUCCAUCCAUUUCAAAUUAUAGGUCGUUUUGUCUUUUCUAGAUACAUGAUUUUUGCUAUACACCUAUGGGAGCUGAUUCUUUGAGAGAUGUGAUUUUGUGGCUGAAAAUGAUUCUCUUUGAUUCUCUAGCAUUAACUCUUAAAAUCAGGAUGGAGAAUCACUUCAUAAACUAUAGCCUAUCAACUUUGAACACCAAUCGGAACGCAAAUUUAAGGGUACGAUGAAAUCGGAAUCUAGUAUCUUCAACUCAGAUCUCCAAAUUCAGAAAUCCCCUUCCCUAGGACGAUAGGGGAAAGUAGCGGCACAAAAUAGGGGACUGACCUAACUGGAGCUCCUCCUCAUCCUCCCUUCACCCCUACGCCUGCUAGGAUUCGCCAUUCCCGCUGCAGGCGGUUGCAGAUCUACGUACCGACGCUAGCUCUAGUCUUUGCCAUAGCCAAUAGGAGCAUGGUGCCGGCGAGUCUUUUGCAGUAGUACGUCGUGUUGAGAAAUGAGAAAUAUACCCCAUGCUUGGGCCUGCAACUGGCAUGUUGACCACACUUAUUAGAACCCAAAUAUAUAAAAUGUGUCCUUUUGAAAAAACAUACAUAGUUCAUAUCUUAGUGGUAGUGCUGUCUCAGCACAUUCAAGAGGUCAAAUGUUCGAGCAUUGUUAUCGAUACUAUUUUCUUUUUAUUUUUCUUUCUUUUUUUCAUCUCAGACUAACAUAACUUACCAAAACUUCUGCCACCAACUCACCUGAAACUUACAUGUGUGUCUCAAUUGCGGUAAAGACCUCCCAUUCGAUCGGUAACAGGUUCGACCCAUGGGAGGAGCACGUUUUCCUUUUUAUUUUACCGUGCUAUUUAUCAGCUUAAACCUACAUGUGGGACCCUGGUUGGUUUAUGACGUUUUCGCGGACCUUAUAUCGUCACAAACCCACCAUUUAACAGCAAGUGACGAUUUCAUUUUUGUUAGAGUGGUACAUUUUAUAACGUUCCGUAACUUUGUCACUAAAUUUGCUCAAAUGUGAAAUUUUAUGACGUUUUCAGCCAGAAAUGUCAUAAAUCUAUGACGAGAAUAAAUGUGUCGUAAAAUUUUUGUCAUAGAUCAACACAUUUCUUGUAGUGAGAAGAACGUGACGUUGGCGAUUGUGACGGCGUGGGGGUUGAGGCUCGCUAAGACGGGGCCGGCUUGUGUUGGCGACGGUGAUGGCAACGGCGCAGGCAACAGUGCAUUUUUGGUGGAGGCGGUGGAGUCUUGGGAGGCGAUGGAGUAUAGGGAGGCAUUGUGGAUCAGGAAAGAGGUGUACGCGGAGGCUGCAUGCGGAGGGGGAGGCGGAGUCGGAGGUGUAGGGAGACGAGUGAAGAAUGAAUGGCGCUGCGAUGUUUACCAGUUAUCCCGGAAGGAGAAACUUUGAUCCGAGGGUGGGAAUCGACCGCAGCGAGGGCCAUGGGGGAGGGCAACGGGACGGACCAUAAAAACGUCACCUCUUUUUUUAGCUGUAGAGAUUGGGGCACUCACCAUCCAUCCCUAAACUUCAAUGCAACGUACUCCCUUUGUUUAGUGCCAAAGUACGAGUCAUUUUAAUUUUAUACUAAAUCAAACUUGUUUAAUUUGAUAAAGUUUAUAGACAAAAGUAAGGACAUAUACAGCAUCAAACUAGUCACGAAAUAUAUACUGGUGGUGUAUUUAUAAUAUUAUGGAAAUUAAUGUAUAGUUUUCUAUAAACUUAAAGUUAGAAAUGUUUGACUUAUGAUAAAAAUAAAAUGAGACAUAAUUUACAGAGGAGGUACUACGCUGCAUUAUUGAAGUUUAACAUUGCAGAUAAAAACCAAACACUUUUUUUAUAUGCUUUUCAGGGACAUAUUGGCUUUGGUUCUAAACUUUUUUGCAGCACAUUGAUGACCGAAGAGAGCACGACUGGUCGAGGCACGCGGUCUAUUAGAUUCUAGAGCUGUGCACUGAUUGUGGAUUGAUGCCUCUCUUUUUAGAGGAGCUAUUUUCAUUAUCUAUUUUUUUUUUACUCUGAUUGCCUGAUGUUAAUUCAGAUAGGGAAAGAUAGACGUGAGUAGUAAUUUGUUUACCACAUUGAUCUCAAUCAGUGCACAACAAAGAAUCAUCUCCAUGUUAUAUCUACUAUUAACCUACCAGGUACUCUUGUAUACACUCCAUACAUCUGUAGCACGAGCAUUGACAUCUUCCCUUCCUAACAGUCCAUUUCUUUUGAACCUUGCGACCUGACAUGCAUCUGGCGGACCCACCUGUCAUUCGGUCACAAUUAAUUCGUUGAGGAGGCCUCUGCUUGCUGACUCAGCACGUGCAUGUACGCGCGCGCACGGCGCCACGCCGCCGCCACCGGCGUCCGGCGGCCGGUUACUAGCACUUGUCGACGUCCCUCCACUUGAGGUACUCGACUCCGGCGAGGUAGUGCGCGUACGCGCCGGCGACGACGAAGAGGUGGAACAGCUGGUGGCUGUGCCCGACGAGGUCGAACCUCCCGGGCGCCCACCGCUCCGGCACCCGCGCCGCGUAGACGACGACGCCGAGCCCGUAGAGCGCCCCCAUGAGCGCCUCGUACGCCGCCGAAGCCACGGCCCCCGGCGCCGUGCCGCCGUAGAUCACGAGCUUGUGGGCGAUGGGCACCACUCCCGACGCGCCCAUGCAGGAGAAGAGGGCGGCGCGGAGCGGCCGGAGCUCGGGGGCCUGGAACGCCGGCACCAGCGACACCGUGGCCGCGGCGGCGCCCAGCGCCGUGAUGGAGCCCAUGUAGAGGCGCUGCAGCGAGGGGGCGCAGAGGAAGGAGUAGUAGGCUAGCGGGUAGAAGGAGGUGACGAUCAGGGCGGCGAUGCCGGCGUAGUCGAGGCGGAGCGUCACGUACGCCGUGCGCUCCGAGUGGCACAGGAUCAGGUGGCACGCGCUGCUCGUCAGCAGGCACACCAUCGCGCCGGCGAGGUACGCGAACAGCGGCCACCGCGUCACGGGCUCGCCGGCGACGACGAGUGCGUCCGUGGCCGUACCAUUAGUGUCCUGCAGAUGCAGUCGUUGUCGGAUCUACGACAGUAAAGGAUGAAACAGGAAAAAGUGAAGGGGAAAAAAAUCUUACAAAGGAGGAAAAAAUCUUAUAAGGAACUGAAGUUUUAAUCACCAGAUUCAUUUACUACAGUGAAACACAGUGGAUGAUUCAAGAGCAGUUUUCAGGUUACAGAGACUUCAACUGGGUUUGUUACUGAAACAUGAUGCUAAAUAUACUACUACUUGGUAUAUCUCGUGCAAAGCCUAAAAUGCACACUUGAUUUGCUACAGUGCAAUGGAUUUGUGGUCCGGUGUGCUCUUGUUUGCAGGUCUGCCCUUCUGUAUGAAUUCCCAAAGCAGAGAUCCAGAAGGUACAGGGCAUGCAUAUAUGGAUGCUUGGCCACCAUCUAAAAAAUAAUGCAUAAGCACGCGCACUUUUAUUUUUAUUUUUUGCCUUAUUUGUUGUUCGACCGAAAUCUUAUGAUUGGGCCGCGGUCGGAAGAGAAAUCGGUUAACAAAAUCCCCACAAUGUUUUUAUCAACAGGCAUUGUGUAUGCAAAUGAGAUUUGCAUGUUCAGUUGCAAACACAAAACUCUCAAAGCAAAUUGGAAGUGUUGCUGUCUCAAUGCACGGCUGCACGCAUCAUGCAGCUAUCAUGAUUAUAAUGGUACGGUUGACCACUACAAACCAAGGCUUGCAUAACCCAAUUUGGUUGUUUUCCGUCACAUCCACAGAAAAGCAGCUGCAAUUCCACUACUACACUGAAAACCGUUGCAUGUAUAUAUCAAUCACUCCCAGUUUGAGACACAUUUGCAAAUUCCAGCUGGUUCAUCACCCAACUAAUUUCAAUUUUCUGUUGUCAUGGCUCAUAACUGUUUUAGUACUACCACAACCUGUAACACUCUGGCUGCCAAAAACAUGAAAAGAUUGGUUGGUUGGAGUAAACCAUAAAAAAAAAAGAACAGUACUAUUGUUUGUACCAGCCUGAUGAAAUUAUGAAAACCAAACAACAACAACUAAAGCAUGCAUCAACAAGCUUAUUAAGAACCCUAGCUAGCAGGGGAAUGAAAAAAAAGAAAAGGACUUGCUGACGUUGCUGUGUGUAAAUGCAAUGGAGAUGCAAGCCUGCCAGCAGCCAGCAGCCCAUUAAAGCAUGCCAACUAACCCCAGGAGUUAAUAUGGAGGCCACCUACCUGAGAUCAGUACCACCCUGACAAGCCACAUCAACUAGAGCACAUAAUCACAUGAUACUGACAGUCUACUCCUUUUGCUACAACUUCUAAUAAGGUCAAAGUCUAAGACUAACCAUCACAAAAGAGCAUUGUUCUAUAAAUCAUUACCGAAACCAGAAAACCACUUUGAACACUAAUAAUUGUAAAAAAAACUCAAUCACGGGAGGAGACUCCCCCAUGCUUUGUUCUUAGAAGAUGACGUGCUUCGAACCCGGGUCGGUACAGGAGUUUCAUCGACUCCCGGAGUUCAACGCUCUAACAGGUCCACGUGAGAAGCUUGGCAAUUGUAUAGCAACAUCGACAUAUGGCCAAAAUGCUUUUCCAGAUGAAUCUAAUCAUAUCACGAGCUUUUAAAAAGUAUAUUGUUGGUCAAAGUUUAAAAAUGUUGAGCACAUGCAACCCAAAUAACGACACAAUUUGUGACUAGAGGGAGAAUAGUACAUAUUGGUUAUUAAUUAACAAGCAAAGAAAUGAUAGAAAUUUAACCAGUACCUGGAUCUGGAUGCCAUGAUGAACGUGAGAGGAGGAUGUGUUGGGUGGACAGCUGGUAGGGAUCUGCUGACCAUCUUCAGACAAACCAGCCUCUGCAGCCGCAGAUGGUGGCAGCAGGAAACACGCUGCGAGCGCCUCGUGCCUCAGCGCCACCGUCAUGUUGGCCAUCUCCACCAGAUCUCCCCAGUACGCAGCCCUGCUACCGCUACUACUCCAGCUACUGUUGUUGUUGCCGUCCCUUGGGAUCACCAUUGCCGUGAAGAUUGUCAGGCACAAGAACAGCAGGAACCCUAUCAAAUGCCUGCAGGAUUAACAGUAAAUGUCAGGCAAAUAUGUGCAGGAAUCGAUUAGUGUCUGAAGAAGAUCAAGGGUUGGGUAAGAAGGAACUGAAUUGUGGAGAUCAUGAGAGGAGGGACUUACGACCAAACGUUGAGGGUCUCGUUGUGGAUGGAGAAGAUGCUGAGGAUGGUCUCCUUCAUCGGCCACUCGCACCGGUAGUAGCCGUGGAUGAACUCGUUGUCCUUGAGCCACUCCGGCAGCGCCUCGUACCCGAUGAGCUCACACUUCUUGCUCUGCUUCUCCUUCUUCCCGUCAUCGGCGCCGACAUUCCAAGGUAUGCAGGAAGAGGUAGUGGUAGGAGAAGAAGCCAUGGGUGAAGUUCCUCCUCCAAGCUCUCCGGCACCUCUUGGUUGCAGGCUUGGCUUGUGCAGUGGCCGCCCUUGGCCUUUCUUCUUGCACAUAACACCACAGCAAUGUGGUUGUGUAGCUCGUCAAGACAAGGAACCAUGCAUCAGAAGCAAGCUGCUAUGCUGGCUGGCAAUGGUGGUUGGCUUGUGCAAUGGUAUAGAGAUAGAAGUUUUGUGUGUGGCGAAGUGGACGUAUGUGCCUCUCUUUAUAUGCAUCUCUCUCUCCCUCCUAGCAGUCUUGUCUUGUGCUUGGAGCCAAUGUUGCUCUAUGGAGCCAAACAAGGAGUGCAAAAGCAAUUGGGAUCUUUUGAGACCACAUACUAAUAAUAUUCCAAUUUGAGUAGUUGAUCCCUCCACGUAGAUGCCAAGAUUCCCGUAUGGCUAUGUGACCUAGUAGUUGGGGUUGUGUUGAUGUGAGAAAGGGAGAAGUGGUUGAAAUUGCUUGUCCCAUACUCCCAUGUGUGUUCAAGGGGGAGGAGAAAUUUAAAAUCUGUCCUAUGUGUCCCUUUUCUGUUCUUAUGAAGUACUAUUAUUGUAUAUAUUUACGACUUUCUUGCAGGAUUUGGUUUAUUUGCAUGGAGUACUGAACACUGCCGCUGCGCGGUUUCUUCCAAGAAAUCAAACGAGCAAGAUCGAUCAGAUCAAGUUUUCUUUAUUGCUGUUGGUUUGUUACUCGAUGGCGUAUCAUCAUCUAAAUACUGUUCUUUGGGAAAAGAAAUCAUGUCAGGAAUGGAUAAGUGGAGAAUUAAGCAAGAAAGGUUAGUCGCAAAACACACGCAACAACACAAACAAGAAUUAGCAUUAGGAGAACUAAUCACCAAACCUUUUCCUUCAGUCGUUGGCGCCCUAGAGCACUGACCACGCGGUAGCUGUCAACUCUGUUCCCUUUUCAAUUACUACUACCUUGUAGUGCUGGCUGGGCUGUCAAAAUUCCCUGAACCGACAGAUCUGAUGCUGCACAUGCGUAUGCUCCAACCUGAUGACAUUGUCCGAUCGAACGCUGUGAAAAAGCUCAGUAUGCAGUAAACAAUUGCAGCAACUACUUGGGAAAUGGCAUUCUCUGUUCUUCAGAGUACUGGACAUGCGUGAGCAGGGAGCCACGGACAUAUUAAUUGAGCUAGGCAGUAGGUUACAUCAGGGUGAAAGGACGAAGAACUAGAAUGGACAAGAUCUGCAGGAUUGCAGUGAAAGUUUUGUAGUGUACAUUAGUUUUAGACCCUGCUUUAACUACAAGGAGAAUCAGUAUCAGCUAACAAGAAUGUGAGAUGAGAACAUUCUUUAGUAGUAUGUAUGUGUGCUACUGACAAACUAGGUUUUAAUUUAAUUAGGAACUAUUGGUAUGUUUUUGUCUGCCGAGUAGCUAGGCUAAUUAUAGAUUUACUCCAGCAUACUAGUAACUAACCUGGUUUUAUUAGAAUAUCGGUUCGUCCUAGGAUCCAAUGCGUGAGAAUUUCAUUAAUCAGCCUACUGGGGUCCAUCACCCAAGUUUAGUCAUAUGCGAACCGAGCUGCAGCUGUGGCCUCACCCAUCUUGGCUUUGAACAUAUAGGUGUUAACAUUUUUUCUUAUUAAAAGGUGAUGGGCUAGCUGUUCCCUCUUUUGUCCAAAAAAAGAUUCAUAUGCUUCAUUUGAUCAUGAAAGCAUGCAGUUUUGAACUUACAUUUCGCCAAUUUUUUUUGAGACUUCUAAAAUUAACUUUCAAGAUUAUCAAAAGAUCAAAAUGACUUGUUUCAGAAAGUACUUUUAUACUGUUAAUCAUAAUUGCAUUGGACCCUUUUAGCUGCACCUUACACUCCCGUUGGCUCUGGGUACGAGUGAUCCUACACCCCAAGAAAACUUGGCUCAGCAUUGUAGAAAUACAUUAUGUAUCAGGGUCGGUUUCUAGCUUAUAUAAUGAACCUUUAUCCGGUCUGUGCAUUGUGCCGUCGGGCCGGAGUCUCGACAACACCUAUUCGCAGAGUGUCGUUUCACAAGGUGGAUUUGGGCUCAGAUGUCUGUUUGGAUAGGUUUGCCGGCGAUGCAUCCGGAUGAAUGGGAUUAUGGGAGCCAGUAGAAUCUGUUCAUGACUGGUGGAAGGCGAGGGCGAGGACGACAGGGACAGCACGCAAAGGAAUGAAGUCGAUCACUAUUUUGAUUUGCUGGGAAAUUUGCAAAGAGCGAAACGCUCAUAUUUUCAAGGCACCGUCCAUGGCAGUUGCUACAAGAAUUAGAGAUGAGAUUUCAAAUUGGAUCUUGGCGGGAGCAAAAUACUUAGCUAGACUUGUUCAUACUUUGUAGAGUUUUUUCCACCGGAUUUUUAGUUUUACCAUUUAUAAUUUCCAUCUUACACUUUUUAACUUAACAGGCAACUCUCCUGCCAGUUCGUUAAAAAAAUAUAAUGAACCUUUGGCUUAUUCAGCCGUCAACGAGGAAGAGGGGAAGACCAAUCACUUAUCGGGGCAUCCGCCAUCCAGACUUGUGGAGCUUGGAGACAGGGCUAUGAGGCUAAAAAAAAUACUUUUAAAGGGAAUAGCACAAGGUAUUUUCAGCACACCAACCACAUAAAAGUAGAACAGUAAAGGGCUCCUCACAAGGUGACAAAUAAGUUUUUAAAGGGAAUAGCUGAUAUGAGUAUUAUAGAAACCGAAUCACUCUUGAUCUACUUCCAAAUAAGUUUUUUUAGAAGGCUCCUUCCAAAUAAGUUGAACUGUCUCAUUAUUCUUUGUACUCCCUCCCUCCAAAUUGUAAGUCGUUUUGUUUUUCUAGAUUCAUAGAUAUUAUUAUGUAUCUAGACAUAGUCCCUCCAUCCCUGCAAAGAGUGUCCCUUUAGUUCUGUUUUAAUUCUGUUUUAAGUCAAACCAUCUUAUAUUUGAUUAAGUUUAUAUAAAAAUAUAUCAAUGUUUUUGAUGUCUAGCAAAUUUCAUUAGAUUUGUUAUGAAAUAUAUUUUCAUAGCAUAUCUAUUUAGUGAUAUAAAUAUUGAUACUCUUCAUUAUAAAUUUGGUCAAAUAAAACAGUUUGACUUAGGACAAACAUAAAAGGACACUCUUUGCGGGAUGGAGGGAGUGUAUAUCUAGAUGCAUAAUAAUAUCUAUUAAAUAGAAAAUUAAAACGACCUAUAAUUUGGAACGGAGCGAGCAGUUAAGAGACGUGAAAAUAAGAAUGUUUCAAGUACAGAGGGGACAACCAGCUCGAUUUAUGGAAAUGAUCAAGGGAUGAGGCUUUUGUAAGGAUUGUUGGAGGCCCAAAGAAUGGCCAAGAAAAUGAGACGUCCCAAGUCCCACCGACCGCUCGAAGAGAUUAUUUCUACUUCAAACUCUUUUUCUUGUGCAAUCCCUUUUGCCCGCUGCCGACCUCAGCCACGCGCGCACGCCGCCGCCGGCGCCACGUCACGUGACGCGCAGCGCCGUCCAUCCUCCUUCCUCCAUUCCUCUGCUCCCGCAACGAAACGGGCCCCACCCCACCCCCCUCCCCUUCCUCAAAACUUCCCCUCCCCUCCACCGGUUCGACCGGUCCGAAAAUGCUGCACGCACGCGCCUUCCUCCCACGAAACUUCCACACAACCGACUGACCAGCGGGCCACGCCACCGCACCGCCUCACACGGGCCCACGCGUCGGUGGCAUUGGCAUCACACCUCCACCGCGCGGAACGCCUCGCCCACCCGCGGAAUCCGCACCCGAAUAUUCCACUCGCUCCCUUCCCCCAGCCGCUCGCUCCUCUUCCUCCACGCCUCAGGUGCUCUCCGGUCACCCACCGCCCAUUCGAAUUUGCCAACGUGCACGCGUCGAUAUCUCACGACCGACCCCAGAUCAGAGCGCCGCUACCAUGGGGAGCUCACCGGCGGCGGCGGCGGCGGGGCCGAGCACGGCGCUGGAGGACCUGCCGGAGGACGCGCUCCUCUGCAUCCUCGCCUUCCUCGCGCCGCCCGACGCCGCCGCCGCCGCCUGCGCCUGCCGCCGCCUCGCGUCCGCCGCGUUCUCCCCGGCGCUCCCGCUCGCCCUCGCGCUCCGCCUCGGCCUCCCCUGCCCCCUCCCCUCCCCGCCCUGCCCCGCCGCGGCCCGCAGGCUCCUCCGCUCCCUCCACCGCCUCCGCCGCCUCCGCGGCCUCUGGCGCCGCCUACCCUCCUCCUCCACCAACUCCCACUCCCAACCCCCGUCCCUCGCCACGUUCGAGUGGGCGGCGGCCCCGCGCGCCACGCUCGCGGCAUCCCUCCUCGCCCCAUCCACGCGCGGCGGCGGCGUCUCCAUGUCCCCCUUCGUCACGCUCUCCAUCGCCGACUCCGGGGACACGGUCGCCGCGGCGGCGGCGGCCGCCGGGGACGUGCCGGUCUGCGUCAACUUCGUCGGCAACAACCACAUCGUGGUGGAGGCGGCGGCGGCGGCGGGGGAGGACGAGGAGGUGGAGAUGGUCAGCGGGUCCCCGCCCGAGGAGAUGUACGCGCACUUCGCCAACAGGAGGAGCCCCGGGGCCGGGAGGAGGAGGAGAGCCAAGCAUGGGAGGAGAGGAGCCUUCAUGGAGCCCGAGCACUUCGUCAGGAUCGCGGAUGCUGAGCCCACCCAGGCGCGCCCGAUCCAGGGCCUGUGGAAGGUGCUUCCUCUCUGCGCAGAGCUUGCUCGUUUGUUGUCGCACGAUGUCCGAGCGGUGCUGUUUCUAUUGCAGAGUUUGAUUGUUUCCGUAUCAUGCUUGUUGAGUGCUCGCGAUGUAGCUGCUGUGAACCGUGAAAUGCUAUUUCCUGUUCGUGCAAUAGCCCAUGAAUGAGAGGUCAGGUAGUGCACAAUUUGCUCGCCAAUUCCAUGAAGAUGCCUCAUUCACUCUGGGUCAGGAACCUUACACCGUUGGAUUGGGAUUGAGUAGAAGAUCAGUACCUUGCACCCUUUUGUAAACAUAUAGGAGCAAGGUCCCUUCGUGCUUACAACUUCUCCAUUUAAAGAUCUGUAGUUCACAUUGAUUGGCACACAUUACCAGCACAACUUUGGACAUCGAACUGAAAACUGGAUGCAACAGUUUGAGUUUAUAUUGAAAUAUUGAAUGGAUGUUGCAAAAGAAUUACAUUCUCAUGUCACAGUUUUGUGGAGUCAGAUAUGUCCACUCAGGUUGAAAUUUUGCACAUUCAGCACGUCUGCAUUGACCUGCUUAGUGCUUGCUUGCCAUGCACUUGCUUGACAUAUUUGAAGUUAUGUGCUUGCUAAGCUAACACCUCUAGAAUUUCUGGGAUGGUUGUUUUUAAUUGGCUCAAUCGGAUACCACUGUGGAGAGCAUGAAGCUGUUUCUUUAGAGUUGACUAUUGGUGUUGUUACUAGCAUGUUAAUACUUUAAGCUGCAUUUAUAUGCUCAAGCAGUCGUGGACAGCUUUUAAAUCUUCUGGGGUGUAAUUUUUGCAGACAGGAUUUGCCUGCUGGUGUUCAUGUAGACUUUGAAUCCUGUACUGUUUCCAGAAUCGCUAGUCCAUGUUGCAAAUCAGGCUAGUCAAAUGGCAAGCAUUGUAUAUGGGAUGGAGUUUUGUUUGCCAGCAUUCCUAGUUGUGUCUUUCAUGGUUUGAUGACUGCUGUUUCAUAAUCCCUAGCAUUAUGGCCAUUGUUGAUUAACACAGAACUAUGAACUGGAGUUCUUUAGCUUUACUGUGAUUCGCUUGACCCUAAAUUAAUGUCACCAGGAAGCAUACUAGUUCCGAAUGUCAAUAUGGAAAUCGGUACCCAGAACAACCCUAGUCCCUAUGGAUUUGGAUACUAGUUUCAUUGGAUCUUAAUACUUUAGAAGCUUCAAGAAAUCGCAUUCGGUCCUUCCGAAACAUUUCUGGACAGCAUACCCUCCAUGGCUGGCUAGUUCCUAACGCUAUUUGUAUGUGUCAAAAUAAUCAUGGUUUUCUGGGUUUCUUCUGUCAAUGAAAGCUGGGGAAAUAGCAGUUAAAUUUUUCCCAUAUCAAUAUGUUAUCAACUAGUUUUGUUUUAUAAGAAAACCAUUAUGGAGGCUAGAUAGAAUUAGGUGCGCCUUUUGCUGCAUAUUAUCAUGGUGAAUUAGUUAUGGUUUAUGUGAUCAUCCUCAUUUGAAAUCCUACAACAUUUUGUGGUUGAUGUUAUCUUGUUUUUUCAAAUGGUGAUGUUAGAUUGUUCAGCUUUUUGCGACUUGCCUCUUAGAUUUGAAGCAGCAUUUUAUCAUUUUAUAUGAUUUGGAAAGUACAGGCUAAUUCGUGCAACUGUGUAGCAGUUGUGAUUCUCUAGAUGUGAGAUCUCAGGAAAAGUUAUACAUCAUCACUAAAACUUAUUAAAUUUUCAUCUCAGUUUUAUCUUGCGAAUGGUGAAUGUCCACAAUUUGGAUUUUUUAAAUGUUCAUUAUUUUUCGUUUCUUCAAAUAAUUGAUUUCCUCCUGUUGUAUAAUUGGUCUUUUGCCAUGCACAUAGAAUGCUGUUAGCUUAAGACAAUGUUAUUUUUUUAAUUUCCAGUUUGAGGAUUACUAUAUACAUGGUUGUAUGAUUUAUAUAUCAUUAAAUCACCUAUUUUUUUAAUAGUGGAGCUUUGCUAUGCAUGUUACGUUAACUUCCAUGUUCUCCAGGGUAUAUGUGAGGAUAGGACUCCGGAAUUUUACCUUGUCGCCUAUGAUGACAUUGGUGGAGUAACUUGUCGACGAUUUAGUGAUACAAGGGGCCAAAACUCUGGCUACUCUCCUGUCUUUUGGACGGCAGGUACUACAUUUCUUGAACCACCAUUCUCCGAGCAAGAGCUGGAUAAUUAUAGUAACCGCUAUCACAUCCAAGGUGUGACUUCCAACCAUGCAUGCUCUGAGAACAGGGUUAUCUCUCGGAUAUUGUGCAUCAAUUCCAGUCAUGAUGUGGUUGAUCCUCAUCUAUCAACCCCCUUAGAUGACGCGAGAAGUGUGGAGGGAAGGAUUUGGCUAUAUGAGGAUGGAACCUUCGGGUUUGGAUUUAUUGGCAGUAAUUCAGUUAUAGAUCUGAGGCAUGUCUCCUCAGCUGGUUGUAUUCUUGAUACUUAACAUUAAAUCUGGGUCUUGCUGGCACAUAAUCUUUGCCAGCAAAUCCCUUGUACAGUACUUUUAGGGAAAUUCAAUAGUUGGCGUUGAGGCAUGUUGCCUCCAGUUGUUGUACUCUUGAUGACAAGUCGCUGAAUACGGGUACCAUCUGGCAUGUAAUUGCUGCUAGAAUACCCAUGUAUCCUGAUACUGAACCAAAACUUGGUCCCUUCUGGCAUGUACUUGUUGCUAGAAUACCAAUGUACAUUACCAUUUCUUCAUUGAAUCCCAAUAAAUUGCAACUGUUAUUUCCUCAUUGGAGUUGGUACAUCCUUAUAGAUGAAUACUAUGUCCUUGUUGCCAACUUUACAAUCUACUCCCUCUGUCCCAAAUUACUAUUCAUUUUAGCUUUCUAAAUGCAUAGCAUUUGCUAUGCAUCUAGACAUACGAACAGUACCUAGAAAAACCAAAACGAAUAGCAAUUUGGGACAGAGGGAGUAGCAAUUAAGAGAUGUUCUGUGACUUCCUAACUUUCAAAUGUCCUCGUCCAUCAUAGGAAGUUUGUUAAGUUGUCAUUUACUACUGUCCUCUCUUGAGAAAUAAUAGGAAAGUUCCAGUUCCUGUUGGUGUUUAAGAAGUUUUCUUUGUCUUACAUAAAUACUUUUGCUAACUUGAAAAAUGUACUGGUAAUAGUGGUAGUGCCAGUUCCAUAGCUGUAUACCAGCAUAAUUGAUUUACUCAUGUGGCACUGCUUUUUUUUUGUCUUCGUAAAAUAUUUUUUUCAUCGUAGUUGCAUCUUCCAAAGAGUAAGUCGCUCAUUCAAUUUAAUUGUCCUGAAAAGCAUCUUUUUCUGUGCAAUCAUUCCUCAAGUUUCUGGGGAAAAAAUGCUGACAAGAUUAUUGUCUGGUCUCUCCAUUAUUCAAAUAUGUAGCUUAGGGCCAAAUAUUUUGCAUCCUUGUCAUGUAACUUCAUCUGGUUUUGAUCUUGUGGUACAGUGAUUUGCUUUUUCCUGCAUACUUCGUAUGUGGAUGGCAUUAAUAUGUUAUGUCUUUCUAAUAAGGCCUUUAUAUUUCUGCACUAGGUGGAAAUCUGAUCGGCAGAAGCUACUAUCUGUUGUCAUCUAAUUUAAUGGAAACCUGAAUACACAUGACUUGUUACACAUCAAAUUGGGUGAACAAAUUGAGUCCCUUGCUUGUAUUGGUUGCUGCUUCACUGGUAGGAAAUGCUAUUGCAAAUUUGCAAUAUUGCUGCAGAAAUAGUAAAAUCAUCUGCCAACUUUUGACUUUAAGCAGCAACAAGAAUAUAUACAGCUAAGGACAGCUCUAGUGCAUCAACGACACAGGCUUUAUCUUUUGUCUGCAUGAUCCAGAACAAUACAAAUUAAGAUGUAGAGAACUUUUGCCUUUAUCUAUUUUAUAUUUUUCAUAGUCCUGCCUUCUAUUUCCUUAUAAAUAGGCAUAACAAGAUCAACAAAAGGUCUAAAGUCUGUUCAUUGGGGUUGCUGACUUAUAGAAUGAUUUUAUGGUAAUUUAAAUACCUGAGUCGUACCAAAACAUUUAUGUUCAAUAUAAAAUUUUGCAUGGUUUCCACACUAUGCACUGAGUCUUCCCUUACGGAUAUCUACUUGCAGUAUUUUUACUGUACUACAUCAUUCAUUCGUUCUGUACACUGGAGUUAUUGUUGUCCCAGAACAUGCUUAAUUUUGGUACUAUGUAUGGCAAAUUCCUUACUUUUAUCCCUUUAUUAUUUGUGUACAUGCCAACUUAGAUGUGUGGUCCAAUUAAGGGCCCUCACAAUAAAUGUUACUGUCCUGUUUGCAAGAAAACAAAUCAAAAUGGUUGAUGGAUGGGUAAUUGUCAUGUUAGUUGGUCUUAGGGACAGUUAGUGAAGGAAAUUGUCAGGAUAUUCAAGCUGGUGCUAGGGGAUCUCAGUGGCUGGGCAAUGACUGUCAUGAUUCAUCAUCACUUAGAAAACUAGUGCCACCUUGGAUCCUCUCAACUUUAUAUUUCUUGGGACAGGUUCAUUAUCCUCCAUGGGAUCCUGAACCCUUUGUAAAUAAUACAUUUGUUAUAUUGUUAGAAACAAUAAAAUGUGAUGGUUGUGCCAAUUUUGGAUUCAUUUGGGCAAUUAAACUCGAAAUAUGUGUUUGUUGGGUACUGUAUGGAUAUUCGUAUCGUGCAACACUCUGAAUUGUAAUAAUGGACUUGUUGACUUGCUUUACACCUGCACGAAAGCUUUUCUCUACCUUCUGGCAUAAAAUUAUAUUUGCAUUACACCUUGUUGUAUGGUCUAUUCGGUACUGAUUAUUAAUUCGGUUUGGAUCUGUACCUUUUCCUUUUGAUGCAGUGCCAGGUAAUCGAUGUUCUCUCAAUUUUGAAAGCUUUGCUUGUUCAGAGUUUGCUUCUUUCCCUUCUUUUCUGUUUUUAUGCAUACUUUAGUCAAAUUCAUUACAACAAAAGGUGGAUCAAGAAUUUACAGCUCUCUGUCUUGUAUACGCAAAUGCUGAAAUGCAUCUUCGAAGCAAUGAAAAAGGGGAAACCAGGUAGAUAUAUUUUGACUCAAAUAUAACAAGGUUUGCAUGCAGAUACAAGAUGAUGUAUCAUUGUUCUCUGAAUGCACAUGACCUCCAUUGGUGAAACUGAAAUGGAACCAUGCCACAGGAAGAUAUAGUGCUCUUGAGCAAAUGCAAGAAGAUUCAUUAUUCAUCUGUGGAACAAUGCUCAAAGAUUAAUACUCUGCUUCUUCAUCCUCCAGCGACCCAGCCUGUGAUGUCUUCUCAUGAUCAUUCUCGAGCUGGCUGAAGUUCCCCUUCUCCUUGAUCAGCUGAAUGUGGUGGUGCUUGCAGUAGAGCUUCCCCUCGUGCGCGAUAUAGUUGGAAGGGCUGAUGGUGCAUCCUCCAUGGCAGCACUUGAAGCAGCUCUUGUGAUACAUAGUGUUGUUGACAGUAACCUGAAGGAUUAGUGGACGUGUCGCAAUCAGCAUAUUGCUAUUCAUGCAAAUUAACUCUCAAGAGGUAUGACAUGCUUGUCACCUUUCCAUCUUUCAGCAGAAAGUAUCAAUAAUCGAGCUUCCAAUAUGGAAGUGCAGCAAAUGCUGUCUUCAUGGACAGACUUUUUAUUUAUUUGUUUGUUUAUUUAUUCUCAAACACAUAUUUAUAUAAUUCACAAAUGUGAAUCCAGUGACCGUUGUCAAGUAUCAAUAAUUGAGCAUCCAACUUGGAAAUGCAGCAAAUGCUGUAAUCAUGGAUACAACUUUUGACAUUUUUUCCUUCUCAGAAACAUUAUAUUUGUAUAAAUCAUGAAUGAGAAUUCAGUAACAGGUUGUCAAGGACACUGAAACUGCAGACAAAUGAUUGAGAUAGUAGAAUAUGGAAUCGUACCCUCUCAAUUGGAUAGACUGUCUUGCUGCAUCCAACACAUUUCUCUCUGGUGCCAGCAAAGACGCUGGAGACUUUAAUAGCAUUCUGCCAAAAUAUGCAAUCAUGAUGAGCAUAACCAAGUGCCAGUUGCUGAUGAAGAACAAAAGAUGAAUAGUGCCACUUGGAUGGUAUGAAACAUUAAGGCCAUACAAUGCUGAUCUAGUGAUCUGCUUCAUGGGGGCCCUAGGUUUUAUCAGUGUUUUCCUUCUUGCUAUACUCAAUUUUUGAGCUAGAUUUACUCUGUUCAGAUCCAUGCGUCACACUUGAGGCUUUGAGUGGCUAUUUAUCUGACACUUCUCUCACUAGUGUGUAUUUGUGUGGUCACUUCAUAUUCGAGGAGUUGGACUGCAUCUAUCCUGAUGAAUGAUUCAAAUGUCUAUCGGUUUUUCUGUGUAAUUUAUUAACUUAAUUUAAAAAAGACAAUUAGACAGUGCAAUAUGGACUACUUGACAUGCGUGAUGUGCCUAUUCUGUAAAGCAUGAAUCAUAGCUUGUUGCAUACCUCAUUCUCAACAUUUCUUUCUGGCUUGACAACCUUUGGAGUCCCUGAACAUUUGCAGGUGAGGAAUGGCUAAUCAGGCUCAAGAACGACCGGAUCUCUAUGUGGUGCAAAUGAAUCAAGGGAACGGCCUAAUCAAUUCAUACCUUCGAAGCUCUUGUCCAGACUCCCGGUCCUCUUGAAGAGCUGGUCGAAGUGAGGCCUGCAGUAGAGCACCCCCUCGAAGGAGUUGUAGUUGGCAAGCUGCAGCAGAGACAUCGCCACACACACACACACCACCAGUAAGUCUCACUGGUCACUGCCUUAUUGCAUAUUCCAGCAAUGAUACAAAUCUCAGAGAAGUUGAAUAGCAGCAACUUCUGAACUGAGCAAACCGAGUUCAGUGUGGUCGGGUAAGGCAGCAGCGGUACCUUGAGGGUGCCCUUGCAGUGGUGGCAUCGGAAGCAGGCCUUGUGGUAGACGCGGUUGUCGGCGGUGAGCUUGUCGACGAGGUACACCGUCUUGUCGCAGGCGGUGCACUUGGUGGUCGUCCCCUGGAACGAGGUCGCCAUUGCCGUCUUCCCCCUCUUCCUCCCCUGCAACAACACGCUCUCUUCCUACAGCAGAGGCAAAGGCUGCUGGUGGUGGCUGGCUAUAUGGGAACGGUGUGGCGGGGUGGUUGGUGGCUGGCGGGGUGCAGCCAGGUAUUGACACCGCUGGGCAGGACAGGACACAGCUCGUGAUGGAUGGGGAAUGUUGGGGGUGGCACGCGGCCUGGCAGAUCAGCUGAGUUGGGCUGGGGGUGAAGGAGCAGGGGAGCCCGGGAGGGGGAGGGGUGUGUACGUACGAGGUGGGGGGGGCCGACCUGCUCGUCCGGCGUGAACGGGGAGGAGGAAAUGGUUGUGGCGGUGGUUGUGGAAAAUUUGCGGAGGGGCGAAGCAAGAUCUGCCGGCAAGGGAGACCGACGGUGACAAAAGGGGAGCGGGAAAACAGUAUGGGACAAUCAUUAGAGAGAGGCAGGGAGGGGGAAUGAUUCUGAUUGAUGCGUGUUUUCAGAACAGGGAGUGCAGGUGGGUGAAAAACCUGCUUCUCCUCGCCAGAGGGGGAGUGGAGUGGAGUGGGUGGCUUGUGAUCUUGACGAAAGGCUCUGCUCUGCAUUCCUCUCCUCGAGUGAAACCGGUUCUGGGGAUCUCUGCUUUGAUUGGAACACGGUGCCAUACGCCCACACCACACCAUGUGCACUGAAUCAGAGCUUGACGUGGCUGCAGGCUUUCUGUCUUCACUGCCUCUGGUUGCUUCUAGUCACAGUUGAAGUUAAACAGUUUCAAUCUUUGUUCCCUUUUUCCUUGUCAUUCUAGUGGGGUUCCUUGCUUCUAGUGAGUGGAGGCCAAAAAAAAGAAGGAAAAAAAAUCAUUUCUUUGCUAAUUACCUGUGCAGCCAUAAUAUAACUAUUUUUCAUAUAUACUUGUUCAUAUUCUGCUCCGACAUGAUGCAUGUAACUUAGCCAAAAAAAUUGAAUUUAACUCACUUUGUAUGUAAACUACGUCGUAUAUUUGACUCAUUUGCUUCUUUCAGGAAUGCGCGAUGCAAGGAUCAAGAUCCAUCCAUGAAAAAAAAGGCAGGCAAUGUUUACAUAAAGUUAAACAGGCAAUACACGAUUUUUUUUUUAACAUAGCCAGCGAUUUUAAAUUUUCGAGCCCCUCUGCAUGAUUUAGUGGCAUCUUCUUUUCAGCCUCGCCAUUCCACCUCUUCAAUUUGUCGGUAGUUCCUUAGGAUGCUGGCAAGUUAGCUCAUGGCACAACAAAUCUGACAGCUGAUGUCGAAAACAGAUGUCUCAAUUAGGUCAAACAGAAUCAAAUUUCUUGUUACUUGACACAUAUAUUGUGCAGGCGUAUCUCUGCAUAGCUAUUAGCUCAACAGAUCUAGACGGCAAGCGGGCAUUUUUUUUAUAAAAAAACAAAAAAAAAUAGAUCUCCACGACAAGGCCACCCCAGCGAACAUGAAAGUAAGCCUGCAUAAGCGCCCUGUCAGGUCAGUUUUUUUUAAAAAAAAAAGAAAAUCCCUGUCAGGUCAGAUUCUUCCGUUGCAACCUUCAGCCUUACUCAUUGCCCAUGAUUUGUUCUUGUAAAGGCAAGCACUCAUCCUGAUUUAGAUGGAUGUUGCAUGUUCGUUGGCAUGUAAAAUCUCCAUGUGUGUGGGUCCAACUUACUAAUUGCAUUUCGCAGCUGUCAGCAGAUCCGUCGUGCCGUGCAUGCAUGAAAUGGUGGUGAUGAAUUUUUUUUCUUUUUCUUUUUGGCGUGGAGAGAAUACAUGAUGGGGGUCUGUUUGAUAAACGUGUGAGGGUGACAUCUCUGUUUGUGUGCCGGCGCGAUGCCUGUGUGCGAAAACGCAAAAUUUAACUGGCUCGGUGCAAUUUAUGUGUUGAUGAUUUAAUCCGGUGCAAAUUUAAAUCUACCCCCCUGUAUUCAGAUGGACUAUAUCUGCUGAUGUUUUGGGGGUUUGAAUAAAAGAGCACUUCUCUGAUGGCGUGACUUGGCUGCCAUACAGGUCAUUGCCACAUCAUCACGCCACGAAUCGAAACCUUGUUGCAGACAGAUGAGAUGUCCAAAACAUUUCAGAUAGCCGCUCGCUUCCAUCCUUAUAAGCAUCCUGAUAAAUAAAAUGCGAGUACCAAAGUUUCAGAAAAUCAUUCUGAAACGUUUGGGGCGCGAAUAGAUUGGGUUCAAAAACUGAUCACGACUUCAUCUACUGAAACAAAUUACACUCGAUAUUUUAAUAUACUAGGAACAGUUUUCUUCCGAACAAUUGGGAAACUAUCUUUAAUUUUCCAAAAAAAACCUUCAUGAUGCACAGGAAUGUGUUCAAAAGAAUAAAGAAAUGCUGCUGGCAGCCCGACAUAUAAAGGUUAUACACUCAUGUGACAUCGUAGCCAUUGAUAUGGUGAUCAAGGUUUCAUACAGCUUAGGAGUCAGAGCCAGGCACUAUCCUCCAGUUGCAAAAGAAAAGUUCACGACAAGGAUGAACUUGACCACCAGAUGUCACCAGCUUAAUAAUCAUCUGCUCAUUCGCGACUCGACGCCAGAUACUAGGAUCCAGGUCGGCACAGACCAGGAAAGACGACCAUCAAACAUAGUGCAGGAAAGGAGACGAAUCAUGAAUAUCGAAGUCAGAUCAGAAACUAAUCCAUCGACAAUUUUCUUGAGCUUUUUAAGGCAGAACAGUAAGUACCAUAAUUUGCCCAAGAGAGCCGGACAGGCAUUCGUAACAAAAGAGAAGAAACAACUACAUGGGGUUAGAACCCAACAUUGAUGGAAUCAGAGAAGAAAAUUCCACCAAAAAUACAAUUCCACGAGCAAAAACUUGCAGUCAACAGAAUUGCUUAAGGCUGCAGAGGCUAUACCUCUUUUGCAAGCAUCCUAUUUGUCUUGGUUUUCCUCUGCUUCCUGCUCAUAUCGGCGUUUGAACUUUGCAAUCUGGCCAAGGCUCUGAGCCAUUUGACGCUUGGCCCGCAUGUGGUACACUUUGCCAGUAUGGUUGACCUUGGUCAUCAUGAUAUUGAUCAGCCUACCACUCUGCGUCACAUAUGAAAUCCAUUGCAUCUGAGGAUGCAGUCCCUUCC
rnacentral:lncRNA from 1 species